rnacentral:rRNA from 1 species
UAGUCCACGCUGUAAACGAUGAGUGCUAAAAGUGGGCUUUUGUCUGCUUUACAGCUAACGCGUUAAGCACUCCGCCUGGGGACUACGGUCGCAAGACUAAAACUCAAAGGAAUUGACGGGGACUCGCACAAGCGGUGGAGUAUGUGGUUUAAUUCGAUGCAACGCGAAAAACCUUACCACACCUUGACAUGUGAAUCGUACCUCCUCGAAGGGGGAGGUCAGUUCGGCUGGAUUCAACACAGGUGUUGCAUGGCUGUCGUCAGCUCGUGUCGUGAGAUGUUGGGUUAAGUCCCGCAACGAGCGCAACCCUCAUCCUUAGUUGCCAGCGGUUCGGCCGGGAACUUUAAGGAAACUGCCAGUGAUAAACUGGAGGAAGGUGAGGAUGACGUCAAGUCAUCAUGGCCCUUAUGGUGUGGGCUACACACGUACUACAAUGGCGAUCACAAUGAGCUUAGCUAUACCGCAAGGUAGUGCAAAUCUCCUAAAAAUCGUCUCAGUACGGAUUGUCUU